ACAGGCCUGAGAGGGGCCUGCCUGUGUCAGGCGAAGAAUAGCUGGCCGACUGCCUGCCCUGCCUCAUUAUCUGACAUCUAAUUCCUUCUUAUCGUCCUGCUGGGAGAUAAAGCGGCUGCUGUGGAGAGAUGUUGCUGCAGGCUAGAAGUGCUGACUGAGAGUGAGGGAUCAGCCUCGUGCCAGGUGAACAGGCAGCCCAGGCGCCGCCAGCCACGGGGACGGCUUGAAUCCUGAAUGUUGGGCUUGUGAUGAAAGGAAGGAAAACUGCUGAAAAUACCUGAAGAAACAAAGGAGCUAAGCUGUGGGGUAGAGGGGAAGGGGCUGAGCCCGGGCUGAGAAUGGUCUCUGGCCCAUGAAGGAUAUUCCUGGAGUUUUAAGCUGCAAGCAAGAACCAACUGUCCACAAAGAAAUUCUGCAACCUGCUUAAAACAACGUUUAAGUGAUUGGACCCCACUGGUCUGGAAUGCUGCAGAGUCCUUCAGAGGAACAGGUACUUGGCUGACCCAGGAGUAUGUUGGGCUGCAUGGAAGGUAUCAUCAGAACAAGCUUUACUGGAGAAUACCCCAGGUUUGUCUAUGGGAUGGCUUUAUUGUUAGUAAUAUGGGGGUUGUAAUGGAUUAUGUUGUCAUACCAUCAUUUUUUAAAGACAUGUAUAUAACAGAGUGCAUAAGAAUUUGACCAACAAAUAACCUCUUGUAAGGUUUCCGCAUCACAUUUUUAAACAGGAAAGGAAUAUGAU